GAUGAACGCCGGCGGCGUGCUUAACACAUGCAAGUCGAACGGUGAAGCAGGAGCUUGCUCUUGUGGAUCAGUGGCGAACGGGUGAGUAACACGUGAGCAACCUGCCCCUGACUCUGGGAUAAGCGCUGGAAACGGCGUCUAAUACUGGAUAUGUGAUGUGACCGCAUGGUCUGCAUCUGGAAAGAAUUUCGGUUGGGGAUGGGCUCGCGGCCUAUCAGCUUGUUGGUAAGGUAAUGGCUCACCAAGGCGUCGACGGGUAGCCGGCCUGAGAGGGUGACCGGCCACACUGGGACUGAGACACGGCCCAGACUCCUACGGGAGGCAGCAGUGGGGAAUAUUGCACAAUGGGCGGAAGCCUGAUGCAGCAACGCCGCGUGAGGGAUGACGGCCUUCGGGUUGUAAACCUCUUUUAGCAGGGAAGAAGCGAAAGUGACGGUACCUGCAGAAAAAGCACCGGCUAACUACGUGCCAGCCGCCGCGGUAA
rnacentral:rRNA from 1 species